rnacentral:tRNA from 1 species
GGAAGUAUGGCUGAGUGGCUAAAGGCAUUUGUUUGCUAAACAAACGGGGUGGGAAACUGCCCCCAGAGGUUCGAAUCCUCUUACUUCCGCCA